rnacentral:rRNA from 1 species
GACGAACGCUGGCGGCGUGCCUAAUACAUGCAAGUCGAGCGGACGAAUCGAAAGCUUGCUUUUGAUUCGUUAGCGGCGGACGGGUGAGUAACACGUGGGCAACCUGCCCUGUAGACGGGGAUAACACCGAGAAAUCGGUGCUAAUACCGGAUAACACGAAAUGUCGCAUGACGUUUCGUUGAAAGACGGCGCAAGCUGCCGCUACAGGAUGGGCCCGCGGCGCAUUAGCUAGUUGGUGAGGUAACGGCUCACCAAGGCGACGAUACGUAGCCGACCUGAGAGGGGGAUCGGCCACACUGGACUGAGACACGGCCCAGACUCCUACGGGAGGCAGCAGUAGGGAAUCUUCCGCAAUGGACGAAAGUCUGACGGAGCAACGCCGCGUGAGCGAAGAAGGCCUUCGGGUCGUAAAGCUCUGUUGUUAGGGAAGAACAAGUAACGCAGUAACUGGCGUUACCGUGACGGUACCUAACGAGAAAGCCACGGCUAACUACGUG